UGGGGAGUGAUGACAAUGGGGGCAACCCUGAUCCAGCCAUGCCGCGUGAGUGAUGAAGGCCUUCGGGUUGUAAAGCUCUUUUGGCGGGGACGAUGAUGACGGUACCCGCAGAAUAAGCCCCGGCUAACUUCGUGCCAGCAGCCGCGGUAAGACGAAGGGGGCUAGCGUUGUUCGGAAUUACUGGGCGUAAAGCGAGUGUAGGCGGUUGCCGUAGUCAGGUGUGAAAGCCUUGAGCUCAACUCAAGAAAUGCACUUGAUACUGGGUGACUAGAGGACCGGAGAGGAUAGUGGAAUUCCCAGUGUAGUGGUGAAAUACGUAGAGAUUGGGAAGAACACCAGUGGCGAAGGCGGCUAUCUGGACGGUUACUGACGCUAAGACUCGAAAGCGUGGGGAGCAAACAGGAUUAGAUACCCUGGUAGUCCACGCCGUAAACGAUGGGUGCUAGACGUUGGCGAGCUUGCUCGUCAGUGUCGCAGCUAACGCGUUAAGCACCCCGCCUGGGGAGUACGGCCGCAAGGUUGAAACUCAAAUGAAUUGACGGGGUCAUAGCUGUUUCCU
rnacentral:rRNA from 1 species